CGGACCUACGGGGCGCAGCAGUGGGGGAUAUUGGACAAUGGGGGGAACCCUGAUCCAGCGACGCCGCGUGAGUGAAGAAGUAUCUCGGUAUGUAAAGCUCUAUCAGCAGGGAAGAAAGAAAUGACGGUACCUGAGUAAGAAGCCCCGGCUAACUACGUGCCAGCAGCCGCGGUAAUACGUAGGGGGCAAGCGUUAUCCGGAUUUACUGGGUGUAAAGGGAGCGUAGACGGCAGCACAAGUCUGGAGUGAAAUGCCGGGGCUUAACCCCGGAACUGCUUUGGAAACUGUGCAGCUAGAGUGCAGGA
rnacentral:rRNA from 1 species